rnacentral:rRNA from 1 species
GACGAACGCUGGCGGCGUGCUUAACACAUGCAAGUCGAGCGGUAAGGCCCUUUCGGAGGUACACGAGCGGCGAACGGGUGAGUAACACGUGGGUGACCUGCCCUUAGCUCUGGGAUAAGCCUGGGAAACUGGGUCUAAUACCGGAUAUGACUCCAUGACGCAUGUUGUGGGGUGGAAAGCCUUGUGCGGCUAGGGAUGGGCCUGCGGCCUAUCAGCUUGUUGGUGGGGUGANGGCCUACCAAGGCGACGACGGGUAGCCGGCCUGAGAGGGCGACCGGCCACACUGGGACUGAGACACGGCCCAGACUCCUACGGGAGGCAGCAGUGGGGAAUCUUGCGCAAUGGGCGAAAGCCUGACGCAGCGACGCCGCGUGGGGAUGACGGCCU